UACGUAGGUGGCAAGCGUUGUCCGGAAUUAUUUGGGCGUAAAGCGCGCGCAGGCGGUUUCCUUAAGUCUGAUGUGAAAGCCCCCGGCUCAACCGGGGGAGGGUCAUUGGAAACUGGGGAACUUGAGUGCAGGAGAGGAAAGCGGAAUUCCACGUGUAGCGGUGAAAUGCGUAGAUAUGUGGAGGAACACCAGUGGCGAAGGCGGCUUUUCUGGUCUGUAACUGACGCUGAGGCGCGGAAGCGUGGGGAGCAAACAGG
rnacentral:rRNA from 1 species